rnacentral:tRNA from 1 species
GCGCCCGUAGCUCAGUUGGAUAGAGCAUUGCUUUCCUAAAGCAAGGGUCGCAGGUUCGAAUCCUGCCGGGCGCA